UACGGAGGGAGCUAGCGUUGUUCGGAAUUACUGGGCGUAAAGCGUGCGCAGGCGGUUUUGUAAGUCAGAUGUGAAAUCCCCGGGCUUAACCUGGGAACUGCGUUUGAAACUACAAGGCUAGAGUGUGGCAGAGGGGGGUGGAAUUCCACGUGUAGCAGUGAAAUGCGUAGAGAUGUGGAGGAACACCGAUGGCGAAGGCAGCCCCCUGGGUUAACACUGACGCUCAGGCACGAAAGCGUGGGGAGCAAACAGG
rnacentral:rRNA from 1 species